ACGGCAUGAUGGGGACAUUUCCCGACGAGGUCCUUUAAUCUUUCCCAUGACUCAUGGAACUGGUCACCAUCUUGUUGUGAAAACCUAGUGAGAGCUCGUCUUAUUU
rnacentral:snoRNA from 1 species